GAAAUAGUUAAUAUUUAUUCCCAAAUUCGGCUAAAACGUUGAAUUCUACAUAAAAAAGUAUUACACAAAAUGGAAUCUAAGAUACAUAGUUACUGAGAUAUUAGCGAAAGUAAGCCUUGUUUAUUAGGAAAGACCAUUAACCAACGAGACUGUUAACACAAUUUAGUCACUUCGUUUAUCUAUUGGAAAACAGUCAUAGAUGCUUCUCGUUGUACGUAGAUUGCUCUGUUUGCCUUUGUCGUUUCCGUAACUAUUUUUCUAUGGCUAAUUCUCUAAGUUUCUUUUCCACAUCUAUUUUUUCCCUUCCCAGGUUAUUCAUUCCUUCCUGCCUCAAUCCAUUUCUGCCUGAAUAUCCUUUUUCUUCUUCUACGCUUCUCCUUUGCUCUUCUUCUUUUUUCAUUUCUUCGAAGCAUCCUUUAACAACUUUUCUUUUAUCUGUUGCCCUCGUUCUCAUCUUUUCCAAAUCUUUAUGCUAUUUGGCUUCUUAAGAUCUCGCUUGUACUUCUAACGUAUAAAGAUUUUUCUCGUACGUUUUACAAUUUUUCUAAAUCUGUUUUUUAAGCAUAGAAUACGACCUUUGGCGGCCCCAUUGACUAUGGUGGAAAGAGAGAGUAUGCUGCAGUUAAAUGCGUUGGCAACGACGCAAUUCACACUACCUGGAGACGCCAGAAGGAUUUAAAUAGACCGAGACUACGUAAUCCCUCUGCUAGUGUGGCCAUCGCUGUCGAUCUGCUUAGACGCUUGGCACCCUGGAUUUUUGCGAGAUCCUGGACCUACGACGACGUCAACAGAUCGGCGGACAUCACGAGGACAACGCGUCACGUUACAGAAAGGCCAUGCUAGGACCGCAGCAUCUACGGCUCGAUUCUGGUAAAAGUCGACUCACUGCCUCGCCACGACGACUGCACGAGCAACGAGUUCACAACCGGCGGAGCAACGCGCUCACGACAAGGAUGACACACUGACUCAUGAAAGCCUCAGCAUCAAAAUGCGUGUCAGGUCGAGUAGAGCAAUGAAGGCUCCUCCUUACGACCGCGUCGAUGUCUAUAAGGUACAGCAAAAA